UUGAUGGGGGGAGAGUUGGGCACAGAUGUUGACCUGAUCUAUCACUCACUUCCAGGAUAUUUCAUGUCUGAAUCGGGACCCAGCUCGAGUAGUAGUUGUGGACUGCAAGAAGGAAGCCUUCCGCCUGCAGCCGUAUAAUGGUGUCGCCCUGCGGCCCUGGGACGGCAACUCUGAUGACCGGGUCUUGUUGGAUCUGUCUGCCUUCCUCAAGACCAUUGCACUGAAUGGUGUGGAGGACGUGCGAACCGUGCUGGAGCACUACGCCCUGGAGGAUGACCCACUGGCGGCUUUCAAACAGCGGCAAAGCCGGCUAGAGCAGGAGGAGCAGCAGCGCCUGGCCGAGCUCUCCAAGUCCAACAAGCAGAACCU
rnacentral:sRNA from 1 species